ACAGAUGGACAUGAGGUCUACAGGCUCUCUGGACAUGUUGGCUGUCCUUGGCUUCCUGGCAUGCUGGCUGACACAUGCCAUUGGUCAGAAGGUCCUGACUCAGCCGGGUGUUAUGUCUGUGAAUCUGGGGGACACGGCCACACUGGACUGUAACAUAGAGAAAGAUGAGAGUAACUAUGUCUACUGGCUGAAGCAGGUCCCAGGCAGUCCUCCCCAGCAUAUACUGGGCUUCUAUUAUACUAAGAGUGCCUCUGAAGAUUAUGGUACUGGCUUCUCUUCCAGUCGGUUUAACUCAAAGGCCAAAAACAAAAUUGAUUAUCAGUUACUAAUCAGUAAUGUAGAGGCAUCAGAUAGUGCAGUGUAUUACUGUCACACUUGGGACGACUCUACCAGCAGCAGGGUAUCACAGUGACACACAGCUGAACAAAAACUUCUCGCUCUGCUGCUUCU